GACGAACGCUGGCGGCGUGCUUAACACAUGCAAGUCGAACGGUGAAGCGCCUUCCUUUUUGGUGGGUGUGGAUGAGUGGCGAACGGGUGAGUAACACGUGAGUAACCUGCCCCCUUCUUCUGGAUAACCGCAUGAAAGUGUGGCUAAUACGGGAUAUUCUGGGUCUGUCGCAUGAUGGGUCUGGGAAAGAUAUUGUUUCGGUGGGGGCUGGGCUCGCGGCCUAUCAGCUUGUUGGUGGGGUGAUGGCCUACCAAGGCGGUGACGGGUAGCCGGCCUGAGAGGGUGGACGGUCACACUGGGACUGAGGCACGGCCCGGACUCCUACGGGAGGCAGCAGUGGGGAAUAGUGCACAAUGGGCGCAAGCCUGAUGCAGCGACGCCGCGUGAGGGAUGGAGGCCUUCGGGUUGUGAACCUCUUUCGCCAGUGAAGCAGGCCUGCCUCGUUUGUGGGUGGGUUGACGGUAGCUGGAUAAGAAGCGCCGGCUAACUACGUG
rnacentral:rRNA from 1 species